rnacentral:rRNA from 1 species
UCCCCGGGCUUANCCUGGGAACUGCGUUCUGAACUGGGUAGCUAGAGUAUGUCAGAGGGGGGUAGAAUUCCACGUGUAGCAGUGAAAUGCGUAGAGAUGUGGAGGAAUACCGAUGGCGAAGGCAGCCUCNUGGGAUAAUACUGACGUUCAUGCCCGAAAGCGUGGGUAGCAAACAGGAUUAGAUACCCUGGUAGUNCACGCCCUAAACGAUGUCGAUUAGCUGUUGGGCGACUUGAUUGCUUAGUAGCGAAGCUAACGCGUGAAAUCGACCGCCUGGGGAGUACGGUCGCAAGAUUAAAACUCAAAGGAAUUGACGGGGACCCGCACAAGCGGUGGAUGAUGUGGAUUAAUUCGAUGCAACGCGAAGAACCUUACCUGGUCUUGACAUGUACGGAACCUUCCAGAGACGGAAGGGUGCCUUCGGGAGCCGUAACACAGGUGCUGCAUGGCUGUCGUCAGCUCGUGUCGUGAGAUGUUGGGUUAAGUCCCGCAACGAGCGCAACCCUUGUCAUUAGUUGCCAUCAUUAAGUUGGGCACUCUAAUGAGACUGCCGGUGACAAACCGGAGGAAGGUGGGGAUGACGUCAAGUCCUCAUGGCCCUUAUGACCAGGGCUUCACACGUCAUACAAUGGUCGGUACAGAGGGUAGCCAAGCCGCGAGGCGGAGCCAAUCCCAGAAAACCGAUCGUAGUCCGGAUUGCACUCUGCAACUCGAGUGCAUGAAGUCGGAAUCGCUAGUAAUCGCAGGUCAGCAUACUGCGGUGAAUACGUUCCCGGGUCUUGUACACACCGCCCGUCACACCAUGGGAGUGGGGGAUACCAGAAGCAGGUAGGAUAACCGCAAGGA